AGCAGCCGCGGUAAUUCCAGCUCCAAUAGCGUAUAUUAAAGUUGUUGCAGUUAAAAAGCUCGUAGUUGAAUUUCGGGGUCAGCAGGUCGGUCGUGCCAACGGUAUGCACUGGCCUUGCUGAUUCCUCCCUCUUGAUGAGCCGUAAUGCCAUUAAUUUGGUGUUGCGGGGAAUCAGAACUGUUACUUUGAAAAAAUUAGAGUGUUUAAAGCAGGCAAGCGCUUGAAUACAUUAGCAUGGAAUAAUGAAAUAGGACGUUUGAUCCUAUUUUGUUGGUUUCUAGGAUUGACGUAAUGAUUAAUAGGGAUAGUUGGGGGCAUUAGUAUUCAAUUGUCAGAGGUGAAAUUCUUGGAUUUAUUGAAGACUAACUACUGCGAAAGCAUUUGCCAAGGAUGUUUUCAUUAAUCAAGAACGAAAGUUAGGGGAUCGAAGACGAUCAGAUACCGUCGUAGUCUUAACCAUAAACUAUGCCGACUAGGGAUCGGAUGAUGUUAAUUUUUAAUGACUCAUUC
rnacentral:rRNA from 1 species